UACGUAGGGGGCAAGCGUUGUCCGGAAUCAUUGGGCGUAAAGCGCGUGUAGGCGGCCCGGUAAGUCCGCUGUAAAAGUCCAGGGCUCAACCCUGGAAAGCCGGUGGAUACUGUCGGGCUCGAGUCCGGAAGAGGCGAGUGGAAUUCCUGGUGUAGCGGUGAAAUGCGCAGAUAUCAGGAGGAACACCAAUGGCGAAGGCAGCUCGCUGGGACGGUAGCUGACGCUGAGACGCGAAAGCGUGGGGAGCAAACAGG
rnacentral:rRNA from 1 species